rnacentral:rRNA from 1 species
GACGAACGCUGGCGGCGUGCUUAACACAUGCAAGUCGAACGGAAAGGCCCUGCUUUUGUGGGGUGCUCGAGUGGCGAACGGGUGAGUAGCACGUGAGUAACCUGCCCUUGACUUUGGGAUAACUUCAGGAAACUGGGGCUAAUACCGGAUAGGAGCUCCUGCUGCAUGGUGGGGGUUGGAAAGUUUCGGCGGUUGGGGAUGGACUCGCGGCUUAUCAGCUUGUUGGUGGGGUAGUGGCUUACCAGGGCUUUGACGGGUAGCCGGCCUGAGAGGGUGACCGGCCACAUUGGGACUGAGAUACGGCCCAGACUCCUACGGGAGGCAGCAGUGGGGAAUAUUGCACAAUGGGCGGAAGCCUGAUGCAGCAACGCCGCGUGCGGGAUGACGGCCUUCGGGUUGUAAACCGCUUUCGCCUGUGACGAAGCGUGAGUGACGGUAAUGGGUAAAGAAGCACCGGCUAACUACGUGCCAGCAGCCGCGGUGAUACGUAGGGUGCGAGCGUUGUCCGGAUUUAUUGGGCGUAAAGGGCUCGUAGGUGGUUGAUCGCGUCGGAAGUGUAAUCUUGGGGCUUAACCCUGAGCGUGCUUUCGAUACGGGUUGACUUGAGGAAGGUAGGGGAGAAUGGAAUUCCUGGUGGAGCGGUGGAAUGCGCAGAUAUCAGGAGGAACACCAGUGGCGAAGGCGGUUCUCUGGGCCUUUCCUGACGCUGAGGAGCGAAAGCGUGGGGAGCGAACAGGCUUAGAUACCCUGGUAGUCCACGCUGUAAACGGUGGGUACUAGGUGUGGGGUCCAUUCCACGGGUUCCGUGCCGUAGCUAACGCUUUAAGUACCCCGCCUGGGGAGUACGGCCGCAAGGCUAAAACUCAAAGGAAUUGACGGGGCCCCGCACAAGCGGCGGAGCAUGCGGAUUAAUUCGAUGCAACGCGUAGAACCUUACCUGGGUUUGACAUGGAUCGGGAGCGCUCAGAGAUGGGUGUGCCUCUUUUGGGGUCGGUUCACAGGUGGUGCAUGGCUGUCGUCAGCUCGUGUCGUGAGAUGUUGGGUUAAGUCCCGCAACGAGCGCAACCCUUGUUCACUGUUGCCAGCACGUUAUGGUGGGGACUCAGUGGAGACCGCCGGGGUCAACUCGGAGGAAGGUGGGGAUGACGUCAAGUCAUCAUGCCCCUUAUGUCCAGGGCUUCACGCAUGCUACAAUGGCUGGUACAGAGAGUGGCGAGCCUGUGAGGGUGAGCGAAUCUCGGAAAGCCGGUCUCAGUUCGGAUUGGGGUCUGCAACUCGACCUCAUGAAGUCGGAGUCGCUAGUAAUCGCAGAUCAGCAACGCUGCGGUGAAUACGUUCCCGGGGCU